UGGGAGAUAGCUCAAUCGGUGAAGCGUGAAAUUCUUAAUCUCAGGGUUGUGGGUUCGAGCCCUACAAUGGGCAAAA